rnacentral:misc_RNA from 1 species
GUGAAUUGGACUACCAUCACAAAAAAUAAUACUACACUGAAAACUGGUGAUAUUGUUUCAGUUAGUGGAAAAGGAAGACUUAAGAUAGGAGAAAUAAAUUCUACAAAGAAAGGAAAGUUUGCAGUUGAGCUCAUUCGUUAUCUGUGAGCACCAGCAUGUGGUGGUAAUUUAAUAUCACUCGUUUACUCUGGUUGGUUCCUUGAGGAUGACAGCUUCUUCUAACGCAAAGCAAGGGUUUUUCUUACUAGCCAUGGUUCUUUUGUAAAACAUCAACAUAAAGCAUAGCUUGAACUAUGAUUUACUUCAAUAUCAGCCUUUGUAAGAUAGAGUUCUGAACUGGGUAAUGAUCUGAU